rnacentral:misc_RNA from 1 species
CGAAGGGUGCUUUCUAUUCUUUUUCUCAUUUUUUUGUCCUAAUCUCGUCACACUUUCGUUUUUUUUUCAUUGGUUACUCGAUCGUUUUUUUUUUUUCACAGAAGGUGUUCAAGCGCCGCGCAACACGUCGAAUAUGGUCUUCGAGCUCACUCCCCCGUACAAGUACCGCAGCUCGUUGCCGAAGUGCGUGAUUCGCAUUGACGACAAUUGGUACGACUGCACAUCCUGGCGCAACUCGCACCCUGGUGGGGCGCAGAUGUGUGAUGAGUUCCAUGGAAAGGAUGCCACAGAUGCUUUCUACUCGCUGCACUCGAAGGAGGCGAUUCAGAAGCUGAAGCGCAUGAAGGCGCUGCCGCUCAAGGAAGGCGAUGAACCUCGCGAUCAGGUGUCGCUUAACUUCGAGAAGCUCCUUCAGCGGUUGCGAAGCGAGGGGUGGUUUGAGCGGAGGUGGAUUAUCGACUUUGCACGGAACAUUAUGCCCGUCAUUGUGCUCUGCGUUGUCGGAACGUACCUGAGCUACUCGCGUCCUUUUCUGGCCACCUUUCUGAUUGGAUUAGGCAUGCAGCAGGGCGGCUGGCUUGCGCAUGAUUUCACGCAUGCUCGGGGCAAGUUUGCCCGCUUCCUCGCCAAAGCCUGUGGCGGCAUAAUCAAUGCCUUCUCGGUUGAGUGGUGGUCAAACAAGCACAACAGUCAUCAUAUUUUUGUGAACCGCAAAGGCAUGGACGCGGACAUCCACAACGAGCCUGCCCUGUUCCUGUGGGUGCCGGAUGUAUCCGAGGACACCGCGUGCCGGCAGUAUCAGUACACGUUCUACCUUGCCGCGUACGCUCUCUUGUAUGUGUCGUGGCGAAUUCAGUCGCUGCGGUUUGCACUCGAAAGCGGUAACAGGCUCGAACUCUCGCUGAUGGCGCUCAAUUACCUGUGGUUGGCGCUGUUGCCGUGGAAGGUUUCCCUGGGCAGCGUGCUGCUUGGUGGUUUUUUUGUCGCCGUGGUGGUGACGGUGAACCACCAGACAGAGGAGAUGAUCGAACAUGACGAACCGUACAACUACGUUGUUGAUCAGCAUCGCGCCACCCGUGGCGUUCACUGCUCCGACCCCUUUUUUGAGUGGUUUUUUGGGGGCAUGCAGUACCAGCUGGAGCAUCACCUUCUUCCGAUGGUUCCCCGCUACCGGUACCCGGAGGUGCGGCGCAUUCUGCGCAAGUUCUCGGAGGACAAUGGGCUGCCGUUUCACGUGGAAGGAGUCUGGAAGAUCACCAAGAUGAACUUUGACGUCUUGUACCGUAUCUCCACUACGCCUGCACUGAAUUCAGCGUAAACCAAGAACGGGAGGUAGAUCCGAUGCAGAGCUGCACGAAUGAGUGGCGCAAUCUGGACGUUCCGGCUUGUUGUGUCCUAGCGGGAUCACGUUCCAGUAGGGAAGGAAAAGAAAAGAAGGCAGUGUUGUUUUUUCCUACUUAGGUAAAAUACCCGUGUGGGUGAAAUUUCGGCCGAGAUGAUCACAAGCUAUAGAGGCGCUCGGUUUGUUUUAAUUCCUUCCUUUUUCAUUCGAACCUCGGGGAGAAGUCUACUAAAAGAGAACACUUCCUGCUAUCUUUUCCCCUUCUUUUCUACUCUCUGUUGUGGCUCUCGUCUGGUAACGAAUCACGGCCAUGUGGCAUCGCGGAAGAAGUACUGUUUCGCACCGCAAUUUGAGUACUGUUGCCUGCAAUUUCAGACGGGGACGCAUCAAAAAUGGUAUGAGUGAGUAAAGAUGCCGUGGAAAGCAGCAUCGUACUUGGUUGCCAGCGAGUGAUUGCUGCGUUUUCUGUUGUUGUUGUAGCCACUCUUUUUUUUUUCGUACCCCGUUUGUGCUGCUAUUUGUUUUUAUCAUACUUUAUUCACAACUAGUACUAAAUCUUAGUUUCCUACUUUGCGUGGUGUGUGCCGUUCUAAUUUCUACGCAGCUAUGGAUAAAUAAGAAUGUAGUGACGAAGUAAAAUCUCUGAAGGAAGCACGUAUUUGGUCGGCGCGUUUCUCUUCGGUGCUCGGAUGACUUGAACGCUUCUCAUGGUAAACGCGAUACCCAGCACGAAGUGAGUCUUGUGACACUCGCGAUGUGCACCAGUGUGUCUCUCAGUGCCCAGAUUCCUUUCCCUUUCUGGUUGAAAUGCCCUAGGAUGCCAGUAAAAGGAGAAAAGGACAUGUCUGAAGCCUUGUGCAACGUGUUAAUGAGGUUGGAGUUCUCGGCAGUACUUUUUCCUGACGGACAAGUACGAUCUUGAAGGCGACACAACGUCAUCUCGUCGUGGCGGAGAAUGUAAACGUGCGCGCCAUUUCAACCUGUCUUACAAACUCGUGACUGUUUCUCGUCCUCUUGUCUUGCUCUCUUCUGCCCACACUUGUCUCUCUGUGUAUUCUGCGCUCUCCGUUCUUCUGCGGGCGCGCAACGUGUCUUUCUCUCCGUAUUGUCUGCUGUGAG